rnacentral:rRNA from 1 species
GUCGAGAAUCAUUCGCAAUGGGCGAAAGCCUGACGGUGCGACGCCGCGUGGAGGAUGAAGGCCCUAGGGUCGUAAACUCCUGUCAUCAGGGAGUAAGGGCUUGCGCAGUCACUGGCGCGGGCAUUGAUAGUACCUGAAGAGGAAGGGACGGCAAACUUCGUGCCAGCAGCCGCGGUAAUACGAAGGUCCCAAGCGUUGUUCGGAUUUACUGGGCGUAAAGAGUCUGUAGGCGGCGGGGUAAGUCAGAUGUGAAAUCCCGGGGCUCAACCCCGGAACUGCAUCCGAUACUGCCUUGCUAGAGUAUUGGAGGGGAGCCUGGAAUUCUCGGUGUAGCAGUGAAAUGCGUAGAUAUCGAGAGGAACACUAGUGGCGAAGGCGAGGCUCUGGACAAUUACUGACGCUGAGAGACGAAGGUCAGGGGAGCGAAAAGGAUUAGAAACCCCAGUAGUCC